rnacentral:tRNA from 1 species
GAAGGUAUAGCUCAGCGGUAGAGCGCGCGCUUAGCAUGCAUGAGGUCUUAGGUUCAAUCCCCAGUCCCUCCA